CUGAAUUCCGUUGUUUUUUCGGAACCAGCCUUCCGCAAAUGUCGCCGAUCCCUUGUAAUAACGGUAGGUACUUAUCGUCAGACACGAUUGCACAAAAUUAAAAUAUAAGAAUAUGAAGAAUCACGAUCAAACACGGGUGGUUAAAUGCUGUCUAACGAGACGUGCGGAAAGAGCUGGAAAAGAAUGAAACAGCGCCUGUGGGAAGUUCCGGGCAGGAAAGGUGAGGGGACAGAGGGGGUGGAAACACAAUGACGCGACGAAGUUAUAUCCCGGAUCUCGCCAACGUCUCGCGUGGGAAACGCCGAAUGUUACCAAUAUUGCGCUGAGGGAGGCGCUGCAGGGGUGCCGAGGCUCGAAUCACGGCCGUGGCAUCGCUAACUAGCCUGAGUUUAUUCAGCGUUUAUCGCGAGCUUAUCGGGUGCUUACAGAGAGCUCGACUCGGACAAAAUCAAAUCAGGUGCACAUUGGUUGAAUAUAGUUUACGUGGCAUUAGCGAGUCUCGGGCGUCGCUAAAUACCGUCAACUACCGGAUUACACGCAUCGAGUAUUCUUCCAGGCCCGCCGAUGACUGUAAUGCCUCUGCAGAUGUAUAAUCACAUGUAUCUUCGUUCGUUCGUAAGUAGAACGCCUCUGUGCCGUAAGAAGAAUUAUAAUGGAUGAUUCAGCUGCACUAUACCUACAAUGUUAUUGGAUAGGAAACCUAACUUCACUCAUCAACGGUGGGCCAUACCUUAGUCGAAGUCGAUAGUAUUCUAUAGAUAUUGCCUCAGUAAUGCUCCCGUGAAAUCUUGUUACAGUAAAAAUUUCUCACGUUUUCGAAUAAUUUUUUGUAUAUAUUAUGUAACAUGCUUAUAAUAAUAAAUAAAUGAUUUUUAA